ensembl:misc_RNA 7SK 7SK RNA
GGAUGUGAGGGCGAUCUGGCUGCGACAUCUGUCACCCCAUUGAUCACCAGGGUUGAUUCAGCCAGUCUGGCUGACUAGGCUGGUGUCCCCUUCCUCAUCGCUCCAUGUGCAUCCUUUCCCAAGCAGUGAACUCCGUGGAAGAGGACGACCUUAUCCGAUAGAGGAGAGGACCGUUCUUCCGUCAAGGGUAUAAGUGUAGCGGUGCUCCCCUGCUAGAACCUCCAAACAAGCUCUCAAUAAUGUAGUUACAGUUUUCAGAGGUCUUAACAUAGGUUUAAUAACUUGUCUUAAUU